UUACGGCCACAUCACGUUGAAACAUAGGUUGCCGUACGAUUACCGAAGUUAAGCAAUAUCGACUCUGGUCAGUAGUACCUAGAUGAGUAACCGCUUGGGAAUACCAGGUGCUGCAAG